rnacentral:rRNA from 1 species
AUUGAACGCUGGCGGCAGGCCUAACACAUGCAAGUCGAGCGGAUGAAGGGAGCUUGCUCCUGGAUUCAGCGGCGGACGGGUGAGUAAUGCCUAGGAAUCUGCCUGGUAGUGGGGGAUAACGUCCGGAAACGGGCGCUAAUACCGCAUACGUCCUGAGGGAGAAAGUGGGGGAUCUUCGGACCUCACGCUAUCAGAUGAGCCUAGGUCGGAUUAGCUAGUUGGUGGGGUAAAGGCCUACCAAGGCGACGAUCCGUAACUGGUCUGAGAGGAUGUUCAGUCACACUGGAACUGAGACACGGUCCAGACUCCUACGGGAGGCAGCAGUGGGGAAUAUUGGACAAUGGGCGAAAGCCUGAUCCAGCCAUGCCGCGUGUGUGAAGAAGGUCUUCGGACUGUAAAGCACUUUAAGUUGGGAGGAAGGGCAGUAAGUUAAUACCUUGCUGUUUUGACGUUACCAACAGAAUAAGCACCGGCUAACUUCGUG